CAAUAUUUAUUAUAGACAUAUGCAUCGACAAUCGCCCUUUUAAGUUUUUAUAAAUAGAAAGGAAAAGGGGGAUGGAGAUCUUGAAUGUGGUGACGUUGGAGAAACCAAUAGAUGGGGAAGAUGUUGCAUAUGAGCAUGGAGUAAACGAAGCGGCUAUGAAAUAAAUUCCAUGCUCAUUAAUGUUUGGAGUGAAAUCCAUGUGGUAUGGUGAAAAUGGUAAGGUGAGUGUGGUAAAAAAGAAAAGAAAAAGGAUACACGGAC
rnacentral:lncRNA from 1 species